rnacentral:rRNA from 1 species
UACGUAGGGGGCAAGCGUUGUCCGGAUUUAUUGGGCGUAAAGAGCGUGUAGUCGGUCAGGUAGGUCCGUUGUGAAAACUCGAGGCUCAACCUCGAGACGCCGAUGGAAACCAUCUGACUAGAGUCCGGAAGAGGAGAGUGAAAUUCCUGGUGUAGCGGUGAAAUGCGCAGAUAUCAGGAAGAACACCCGUGGCUAAGGCGGCUCUCUAGUACGGUACUGACGCUGAGACGCGAAAGCGUGGGGAGCGAACAGG